GGAGGUCAGGGCUAGGGUGGUGUGUGUGUGUGUGUGUGUGUGGUGUGUGGGAGGUAGCAGCUUUAAAGGUCAUCUGCAGGAAGGAAAAGAAGGUCCCAUCCUCCUCUGACCUCCCCCCCCCAUCUCGUCCUAAUGACUCAGGCCUCAGCUCUCACUUAGGGCAGAAGACACAUGCCCCCACCCCAGGCCUGGCAUGUGGACUGAACUGCAGUACAUGGGUGGGGAGAAUGGACAUGAGGACAGGGACGCAGCAGGCUAAGUGCUCCAACUACCUCCCAUGUGCCCCCUUACCUAUCCCCAAAUGGCACUUCUCAACCCUAGGGCCUACCCUCCUUCUCUCGCAGAUGGGAACCUAUAACCCUGUGCACACCUCCUGGGGCUCAGUGACCUUCCCAGCCCCUUGCUCCAUGCCCGCUGCUCUCUGGGACGCAGUCUGACUUCAGGUGGAGGGGGCAAAGAGGCACCUGCUCCAGCGCAGCGCGGGAGUGCCCGUGGGUUCAGCACCACGCGGCGGACAGCUCCGGGCCCGUGGCCCUAAGGAGUCGGAGGGGAGAAGUGGAGGAAUCCAGAGGGAGGCGGAGGCCGGGUUGGGCGCGGGAGAUCAGGAGUUGGGAGGAACGGAGGAGGGGCUGGGGGCGGGCCGGGGCCGGGGGCGGGGCGGGCCGCGAUUGAAAGCAGCUGGGCGAGCAGGCGGGCCGAGAGAUCAGAGACGCGGAGCCAGCGAGCCAGCGAGCUAGCCAGCUAGCCGGAGCUGGAACCCCACGCUCCCGGCUCCUCCGUUUUUUCUCCGCGCCUGAGCCGGGCGCGCAAGGUAGGGUAAGCCGGGUGGUGCCGCGGCCGCCGCCGACCUUAUUGAUCCUGACCCCGUGUCCCAGAGUCCCGCGGACCCUUGGGUUCUGAGGUGCCCGGGCCGGGACUGGCCCAAGCGUCCAGACAGCGCUCUCCAGGAGCUCCGGGAAGCGGGAAGACAGCCCCAGGCGUCCCACCUUUCUUUCCCAGAGAACGCAUGCCCUGCAACGCGCUUCCUCGUUCCUCCUGCCCCUCUGUCCUUUGGUCAGUCUUUCUGUCUGUGCCUCUGUCUUUGUCUCAGCCUCUCAGGCUCCAUCGCUCCCUGCCGGAAUUUUGUGGCCCAGGCCCCCAGGCUGCCCCUCCCAGGGUUCCAUCUCCAUGGUCCUGUCCCUAUCAGAGCUUUGGUCCCAGCUGCCCUGUGGGAGGCUUGCGGUCUUGACUGGUAAGGGCCUCAGCCCCCAUCUGAGUCCCUGUCUCCAUCUGCGUUGGUCUUCACGCUUGCCUCUCCUUUUUGCCUGGUUGAGCUGUUUCUUCCUGAGUAUCCACAGGAUCCCAGUCCCCCUGGCCUGACUCAGCCUCAGCAGGAGAUUAACCGUGGGGAGCUGAGGGGACAAAGUGAAGAGCCCAGUCUCUGUGUCCAGGAUGUGGGGUCCCUGAACGAGUUUUGCCCUUCUUCAGGCUCAGUUUCCCUCUCCUAGUCUCCCUAAACCUGUGUGAUUGUGACAGCCCUUGUGGGGUAGGUGUCUGGGAGAGCAGCUGGGGCACAAAUGAUGGGUGCAGAGUGAAAGAAGGAGGCGAGGGUCUCUGAGGGCCAGAGCCAGGGUGGACAGGGCCCUGAGGCUGAGGACGGGGAGACUGGAGAUGAUGACUUUUCUGCUUGUUUCUGAGCUGAAGAGAAAACGGGAAGCCAAAAGUCUCAGUGUUCUACGUAGAGCUAAGGUUUACAUAUUUUUGACUAGAUGAACUGACCCCCAUUCCUGACACAUACAUACACUCACAUCUACUUUCCUUGUUGACUUUAGGACCUGUGGCCACUUCAGUGUCCCUCCUUGGGGCCAGACUCUCUACCUUGCUGUCUAACUUCCAGGAGCUAGAAUCUCUAUUACUUCCUCAGUCAGGGGGCUUUGAGGAUGGCUUUUUAAGAACCAGAGGCUGGGACCCUGGGGUGUUCACCUGGUCUCCAGUCUCCCUAGGAGUUGGAGAAUAACUACUCUUUAAAGACUCUUCCUUCCCUCUUCCCUGGUGGGUUCUCAGCCAGCAAUGUCUCCUCUCUGGAAAUCCAAAGCUCAGGAUGGGGACUGGACCCAUCCCCUAAGUUUGUAACUGUUAUUUUAUGCUGCAAAGCUGUUGACUCUGGGGUUCUAGGAGAUUUGUGUAGGUUGUUGGACAUUCUGUGACUCACAGUGGGAUUGGUGUUGGCUGAGGUCUCCUGUCUUCCGUCUCUGCAGUCCUCCAACUCUGCUAAGUUUGGGAUGGGCACAGAGCCCAUCUCCAGCCCCAGAUCAGGGCAGGGCUGAGAGGCAGGCCUCGGGGAUGUCCCAGGAGCUUCUCAUUCUAGUUAGUGAUACCACCUCUCCCUGGUUCCUCAGUCCCUGUGAAAGGAGCUUGGGGGAGGCAGAGUCAGAGGGGUAGUCACUCUCAGGUUCCACUUUUCCCUAUCUGUCUGUCUGUCUCUCUCUUUCUCUGCAGGAGCUGGGUCCCUCCUCACCCUCUUCCUGUCUGUCCUUUCCUGGUCCAUUUCCACCUCUCUUUGCCUUUGCUGCUUCUACCCUCAUCCCCUAGAGGCCCAGGUCUGCUGGACCCAUCCAUCCCCUUUGUGGCCAUGGGAUCACUGCUUGGGCUUCUGGCUCUGCUGCUGCUGUGGGGCGCUGUGGCUGAGGGCCCAGCCAAGAAGGUGCUGACCCUGGAGGGGGACCUGGUUCUGGGUGGGCUGUUUCCGGUACACCAGAAGGGCGGCCCGGCAGAGGAGUGUGGUCCUGUCAAUGAACAUCGUGGCAUCCAGCGCCUGGAGGCCAUGCUUUUUGCGCUGGACCGUAUCAACCGUGACCCAAGCCUGCUACCGGGUGUGCGCCUAGGUGCGCACAUACUCGACAGCUGCUCCAAAGACACACACGCUCUGGAGCAGGCCCUUGACUUCGUGCGUGCCUCACUCAGCCGGGGUGCCGAUGGCUCACGCCACAUUUGCCCCGACGGCUCUUAUGCCACCCACGGUGAUGCUCCCACUGCCAUAACUGGUGUAAUUGGCGGCUCCUACAGCGAUGUCUCCAUCCAGGUGGCCAACCUCCUGCGACUAUUUCAGAUCCCACAGAUCAGCUAUGCCUCCACCAGUGCCAAGCUGAGUGACAAGUCUCGCUAUGACUACUUUGCCCGCACGGUGCCCCCUGACUUCUACCAAGCCAAAGCCAUGGCUGAGAUUCUCCGCUUCUUCAACUGGACCUAUGUGUCCACUGUGGCAUCCGAGGGUGACUAUGGCGAGACAGGCAUCGAAGCAUUCGAGCUAGAGGCCCGUGCCCGCAACAUCUGUGUGGCCACCUCGGAGAAGGUGGGCCGCGCGAUGAACCGGGCAGCCUUCGAGGGUGUGGUGCGGGCCCUGCUGCAGAAGCCCAGUGCCCGCGUGGCUGUCCUGUUCACCCGUUCCGAGGACGCCCGCGAGCUCCUUGCUGCCACCCAGCGCCUCAACGCCAGCUUCACCUGGGUGGCCAGUGAUGGCUGGGGGGCCCUGGAGAGCGUGGUGGCAGGCAGCGAGGGUGCUGCUGAAGGUGCCAUCACCAUCGAGCUGGCUUCCUACCCCAUCAGCGAUUUUGCCUCCUACUUCCGGAGCCUGGACCCCUGGAACAAUAGCCGGAACCCCUGGUUCCGUGAGUUCUGGGAGCAGAGAUUCCACUGUAGCUUCCGGCAGCGAGACUGUGCAGCCCACUCCCUGCAGGCUGUGCCCUUUGAACAAGAGUCCAAGAUCAUGUUUGUGGUCAAUGCGGUGUAUGCCAUGGCCCACGCGCUGCACAACAUGCAUCGUGCCCUCUGCCCCAACACCACCCGCCUCUGUGAUGCAAUGCGGCCAGUCAAUGGACGCCGCCUCUACAAAGACUUCGUUCUCAACGUCAAGUUUGAUGCCCCCUUCCGCCCAGCUGACACCCACAGUGAGGUCCGCUUCGACCGCUUUGGUGACGGUAUCGGUCGCUACAACAUCUUCACCUAUCUGCGGGCAGGCAGUGGGCGCUAUCGCUACCAGAAGGUGGGCUACUGGGCAGAAGGCCUGACCCUGGACACCAGCCUCAUCCCAUGGGCCUCCGCCUCAGCCGGGCCCCUGCCCGCCUCUCGCUGCAGUGAGCCCUGCCUGCAGAACGAGGUGAAGAGCGUGCAGCCGGGGGAGGUCUGCUGCUGGCUCUGCAUCCCCUGCCAGCCCUAUGAGUACCGGCUGGAUGAGUUCACCUGUGCUGACUGUGGCCUGGGCUACUGGCCCAACGCCAGCCUGACAGGCUGCUUCGAGCUGCCCCAGGAGUACAUCCGCUGGGGCGAUGCCUGGGCCGUAGGACCCGUCACCAUCGCCUGCCUGGGGGCCCUGGCCACCGUCUUUGUGCUAGGUGUCUUCGUACGGCACAAUGCCACACCAGUGGUCAAGGCCUCGGGCCGGGAGCUUUGCUACAUCCUGCUGGGUGGCGUCUUCCUCUGCUAUUGCAUGACCUUCGUCUUCAUUGCCAAGCCGUCCACAGUGGUGUGCACCUUACGGCGCCUCGGUUUGGGCACUGCCUUCUCCGUCUGCUACUCAGCCCUGCUCACCAAGACCAACCGCAUUGCGCGCAUUUUCGGAGGGGCCCGGGAGGGAGCCCAGCGGCCGCGCUUCAUCAGCCCUGCCUCCCAGGUGGCCAUCUGCCUGGCCCUGAUCUCAGGCCAGCUGCUCAUUGUGGUUGCCUGGCUGGUGGUGGAGGCACCAGGCACGGGCAAGGAGACAGCCCCUGAGCGGCGUGAGGUGGUGACAUUGCGCUGCAACCACCGCGACGCCAGCAUGCUGGGCUCACUGGCCUACAACGUUCUCCUCAUCGCACUCUGCACACUCUAUGCCUUCAAGACCCGCAAGUGCCCUGAGAACUUCAAUGAGGCCAAGUUCAUCGGCUUCACCAUGUACACCACCUGCAUCAUCUGGCUGGCCUUCCUGCCCAUCUUCUAUGUCACCUCCAGUGACUACCGGAUGAAGAAACGGAGGCUCAGGGAGGUUCAAUCCCUUGCCUAAGGUCUCUCAGCUUGGGAGUAUAGAGCAGGGUCUGAAUUGACAAUCUUAACAAUUAAAGAAGCAGGAAAAUCAAGGCAAGAGCCUCUGCAAAGGCCCUUUCCCUCAGGACAGAGGUACAGACCACCACCAUGUGUGUGUCGGUCAGCCUCAGCGGCUCCGUGGUGCUCGGCUGUCUCUUUGCGCCCAAGCUGCACAUCAUCCUCUUCCAGCCGCAAAAGAACGUGGUUAGCCACCGUGCACC